UACCCUGGAUCAAUUGUGUGCCUUCCUGAU
rnacentral:piRNA from 1 species